UGGGGAAUAUUGCACAAUGGGCGCAAGCCUGAUGCAGCGACGCCGCGUGGGUGAUGAAGGUCUUCGGAUCGUAAAGCCCUUUUCUGCGUGACGAGACAGGACGGUAGCGCAGGAAUAAGUCUCGGCUAACUACGUGCCAGCAGCCGCGGUAAAACGUAGGAGACGAACGUUAUCCGGAGUUACUGGGCGUAAAGGGCGUGUAGGCGGUUUGUUAAGUCAGGGGUGAAAUCCCAAGGCUCAACCUUGGAACUGCCUUUGAUACUGGAAGUCUUGAGAUCGGGAGAGGUGAGUGGAAUUCCUAGUGUAGAGGUGAAAUUCGUAGAUAUUAGGAAGAACACCAGUGGCGAAGGCGGCUCACUGGCCCGAUACUGACGCUGAGACACGAAAGCAUGGGUAGCAAACAGGAUUAGAUACCCUAGUAGUCCCUGAGCGGGCUGGCAAGGCGCAU
rnacentral:rRNA from 1 species